rnacentral:snRNA from 1 species
AGCUUUGCGCAGUGGCAGUAUCGUAGCCAAUGAAGUUUAUCUGAGGCGCGAUUAUUGCUAAUUAGAAAUGCUAGAAAGAAAUCUAUAAAAAAUGAUGAUUUAAAGUACAAUUU